AAUAUAGAUAAAAGGUCAAUAUAGAUAUUAAUCUUAAUAACUAAUAUUCUCUACUCAACAAUAAGUAAAAAUCCUAAACAAACUACAAUAAUUACCUCUAAGACUUACUAAGAUUCUAUUUCUUCUCCAUUAAUACUAUUUAUCUUCAUUUAAUAUUGAAUCAAGACUAGACUAUCUCAAAAAUUCAAGAUCCUUCUAAUCUAUAGCAACAUAAAGCCUCAUCAUAGAAUAAAACUAAACGGAAUUAAAGAGAUUAUGAUAUGCAAUGCAGAACUGAGCCAACACAAACAAAACAAAACAGAUCUAAACAAAAAGAUGCAGAACCAAACUUUACUAAG
rnacentral:lncRNA from 1 species